GUCCCUGCCCGUGGCACAGAGUGGAAGGAGCUGGGUUUUGGUUCAUUCUGCUUGUGUUCCCGCCUUCUGGAUCUCUCUUCAGGCAGUCCAUUUCACUGGAGCUGUGAAUGGAAAGCCUGUGUGAACUCUGGGAAGGAAGUCACUCACAAUCCUGAUCACAAUCCCCCAAUAUUUGGAUUAAUUAAUUAAUCAAUCACAGCUUCUGCAUUGCCACGACCCUGGUUGGCUUCUGGAAAAUUGCACUUCCCCACAUCUUUUAAAAGUAUUUUUCAAAGGGAUUUUUUUCAGAGGUUGCCACCACAGCAGUGACAAAACGAGUGGGAAGAAAACCAGAAGGGUCCUAUAUGUUUUCCUCCAGGAAUGAAGGAACACAAUGGUCCACGUGAGCUGGAAAACAAAAACCUCUAGAAGAUUAUAAUCUUUUUUUACCACCAAAGCCUGAAAGGGAGGACUUGCCUGAUCAAAUCGAAACUGUUUCUUCAGUGAAGGAAUUCCUGCUGAGGUCCCGCCUGAACCUCCCCUGGCACAGACCGAGGCCAUUUCCUCUUGUUCUGUCGCUGGAAAAUCUUGGCUCGAGAGCAGAGGGGCUGAAGAGAAAUUGCCAAAACUCUGAGUUAAUUAUGGCUGUUAGAUCCUGUCG